rnacentral:rRNA from 1 species
UACGUAGGGCGCAAGCGUUAUCCGGAAUUAUUGGGCGUAAAGAGCUUGUAGGCGGUGUGUCGCGUCGGCCGUGAAAACCUGCAGCUUAACUGUGGGCUUGCGGUCGAUACGGGCAUCACUGGAGUUCGGCAGGGGAGACUGGAAUUCCUGGUGUAGCGGUGAAAUGCGCAGAUAUCAGGAGGAACACCGAUGGCGAAGGCAGGUCUCUGGGCAUUAACUGACGCUGAGGAGCGAAAGCAUGGGGAGCGAACAGG